CAGUAGCCGCGGUAAUACGUAGGGUGCGAGCGUUAAUCGGAAUUACUGGGCGUAAAGCGUGCGCAGGCGGUUCGUUAAGACAGAUGUGAAAUCCCCGGGCUUAACCUGGGAACUGCAUUUGUGACUGGCGAGCUAGAGUAUGGCAGAGGGGGGUAGAAUUCCACGUGUAGCAGUGAAAUGCGUAGAGAUGUGGAGGAAUACCGAUGGCGAAGGCAGCCCCCUGGGCCAAUACUGACGCUCAUGCACGAAAGCGUGGGGAGCAAACAGGAUUAGAUACCCGUGUAGUCCCUGUCUCUUAUAA
rnacentral:rRNA from 1 species